GUCCACGCUGUAAACGUUGAUCACUGGCUAUCGGCAGUGUCGACCCUGUCGGUGGCGAAGCUAACGCGUUAAGUGAUCCGCCUGGGAAGUACGGCCGCAAGGCUAAACUCAAAGGAAUAGACGGGGACUCACACAAGCGGUGGACCAUGUGGCUUAAUUCGACAACAACGAAGAACCUUACCAGGGCUUGAAAUUUCGUUGAAAUUCCGCAGAAACGCGGAACCCCCCACAAGGCAACGGAACAGGUGCUGCAUGGUUGUCGU
rnacentral:rRNA from 1 species